rnacentral:rRNA from 3 species
UACGAAGGGGGCUAGCGUUGCUCGGAAUUACUGGGCGUAAAGCGCACGUAGGCGGCUUUCUAAGUCGGGGGUGAAAUCCUGGAGCUCAACUCCAGAACUGCCUUCGAUACUGGAAAGCUCGAGUCCGGGAGAGGUGAGUGGAACUGCGAGUGUAGAGGUGAAAUUCGUAGAUAUUCGCAAGAACACCAGUGGCGAAGGCGGCUCACUGGCCCGGUACUGACGCUGAGGUGCGAAAGCGUGGGGAGCAAACAGG